UGCUACGUUUGCUAUGUUAAUGGGGUAGGAUCCGAGACUCCUUUCGGGGUUACACAGGCCCUACCCCUCCCCUACCCAAAUCCUUUACGGUUACGUCCUCGUCGUACAGAGUGGUAACUUUCCUCACCACAUAUCCAAGCUUGGGAACACAGGGCCUAUCCGAACCCCUUGGGCGGAUGGUGGAGCAAGGCUAAACAGUAGGGG
rnacentral:ribozyme from 1 species